rnacentral:sRNA from 1 species
UCGCUGGCAGCCGAAGCAGGACGUUUUGGCGCCGCCGUUUUGGCCACGAAGGUCGUUUUGGCGCCGCCGUUUAGGUCACAACGGAAAGCUAUAAACUGCACUCAUCCUUAAUCUUCGGAAUCGAAGACAUUGUCAUUUAUAUUAUAAUUACAUUAUAUAGUGGGCCCCAAACAUCGCGGGACACGGUCAAGGUCAAGUCACAAGAAUGUGACGUCACAUGAUCAGAUGAUCUUGAGUGCAUGGCCAAUGUGCGUGAGUGUGUGUGAGGCCACAAAAGGCGGGAAACAACCGGUGAAGGUUAAGGUAGCCUAAAAGGAAGGUUCAAGAGACUUUUAUGGACAAUGUACGUGAGUGAGGCCACAAAAGGCGGGAAAAAAACGGUGAAGGUCAAGAUAGCCUAAAAGGAAGGUUCAAGAGACUUUAAUGGACGAGACUAUUUACGUAGAUUCUACAUUCAGAGUCCCAUUUCAUACUCAUAAUC